rnacentral:tRNA from 1 species
UUGGCUUUAAGCAUUUAUGUGUAACUUAUUUGCAAAAUAAGGAGGGUUGAGCUAUG